rnacentral:rRNA from 1 species
GAUGAACGCUGGCGGCGUGCCUAAUACAUGCAAGUCGAGCGAACAGAUGAGGAGCUUGCUCCUCUGACGUUAGCGGCGGACGGGUGAGUAACACGUGGAUAACCUACCUAUAAGACUGGGAUAACUUCGGGAAACCGGAGCUAAUACCGGAUAAUAUAUUGAACCGCAUGGUUCAAUAGUGAAAGACGGUUUUGCUGUCACUUAUAGAUGGAUCCGCGCCGCAUUAGCUAGUUGGUAAGGUAACGGCUUACCAAGGCAACGAUGCGUAGGCGACCUGAGAGGGUGAUCGGCCACACUGGAACUGAGACACGGUCCAGACUCCUACGGGAGGCAGCAGUAGGGAAUCUUCCGCAAUGGGCGAAAGCCUGACGGAGCAACGCCGCGUGAGUGAUGAAGGUCUUCGGAUCGUAAAACUCUGUUAUUAGGGAAGAACAAAUGUGUAAGUAACUAUGCACGUCUUGACGGUACCUAAUCAGAAAGCCACGGCUAACUACGUG